GUGGCGGACGGGUGAGUAACGCGUGGGUAACCUGCCUUAUACAGGGGGAUAACAGUCAGAAAUGACUGCUAAUACCGCAUAAGACCACAGCACCGCAUGGUGCAGGGGUAAAAACUCCGGUGGUACAGGAUGGACCCGCGUCUGAUUAGCCAGUUGGCGGGGUAACGGCCCACCAAAGCGACGAUCAGUAGCCGGCCUGAGAGGGUGAACGGCCACAUUGGGACUGAGACACGGCCCAAACUCCUACGGGAGGCAGCAUG
rnacentral:rRNA from 1 species